UCCCGUUUAUCAAAAACAUGGUUUCUUGUUUUAAUAUUUAAGAAAUUUAACCUGCCCCCUGAUGUGUAUUUAAAGGGCCGCAGUAUUUUGACUGUGCAAAGGUAGCAUAAUCAUUAGUCUUUUAAUUAAGGGCUGGAAUGAAUGGUUGGAUGAGGUAAAAACUGUUUUAUAUUAAUUGAAAUUGAAUUUGAUUUUUAAGUAAAAAAACUUAAAUGUUAUUAAGGGACGAGAAGACCCUAUAGAGUUUAAUAUAUAUAUGAUAAAUUAAUUUAGUUGAUAUAUAAUUUUUGGUUAUUAUAAUAUAUAUAUUUAAUUGGGGUGAUUAAAAGAUAAGUAAAACUCUUUUUUAAAUUUAAUAAUGUUUUUAGUUAAAUGAUCCAUUAUAAAUGAAUAAAAGAUUAAAUUACCUUAGGGAUAACAGCAUAAUUUUUUUUGAGAGUUCAUAUUAAAAAAAAAGAUUGUGACCUCGAUGUUGGAUUAGGAUUAGUUUUAGGGUGUAGAUGUUCAAUAACUAGGUCUGUUCGACCUUAAAAAUCCUACAUGAUCUGAGUUCAAACCGGAGA
rnacentral:rRNA from 1 species